rnacentral:rRNA from 1 species
GUAUUGCACAAUGGGCGCAAGCCUGAUGCAGCCAUGCCGCGUGUGUGAAGAAGGCCUUCGGGUUGUAAAGCACUUUCAGCGAGGAGGAAGGCCAGUGACUUAAUAAGUGACUGGAUUGACGUUACUCGCAGAAGAAGCACCGGCUAACUCCGUGCCAGCAGCCGCGGUAAUACGGAGGGUGCAAGCGUUAAUCGGAAUUACUGGGCGUAAAGCGCACGCAGGCGGUUUGUUAAGUCAGAUGUGAAAUCCCCGAGCUUAACUUGGGAACUGCAUUUGAAACUGGCAAGCUAGAGUCUUGUAGAGGGGGGUAGAAUUCCAGGUGUAGCGGUGAAAUGCGUAGAGAUCUGGAGGAAUACCGGUGGCGAAGGCAGCCCCCUGGACAAAGACUGACGCUCAGGUGCGAAAGCGUGGGGAGCAAACAG